UAAGAAACCUGCCUCUGACCCUGAAUACCU
rnacentral:piRNA from 1 species